GUCUCCACCAUGGCCUGGACCCUUCUCUUCCUGGGCCUUCUGGCUCACUGCACAGGGUCUGUGGCCUCCUAUGAGCUCAUCCAGCCACCCUCGGUGUCAGUGGCCCUGGGAUAGACAGCCAGUAUCACCUGUGGUGGAAACAAUAUCGGAGGCAAAAAUGCUUACUGGUACCAGCAAAAGCCAGGCCAGUCCCCUGUGCUGGUCAUCUAUGGUGAUAGCAGCCGGCCCUCAGGGAUCCCUGAGCGAUUCUCAGGCUCCAACUCAGGGAACACGGCCACCCUGACCAUCAGCAGGGCCCAGGCUGGGGACGAGGCUGACUAUCACUGUCAGGUGUGGGACAGCAACACUGCUCACAGUGACACAGGCAGAUGGGGAAGUGAGACACUAACUCCUGCCCCAUCUGUGUCACUCUUUCACUCCUGUCAAGGAGGAUUGUAG